AAAAAAAUAUAUUCAACACAAUAUUUUUGUUGUUGGCGUUGAGAAAGUCACUUGGGAAUUCUGGUAUUGUCAAAAUUCAAGUUUGAACUGUCUGAUCUGGCAAAGUCACGACUCCAUUGGGACGACUGCAAGAGCGAAUGAGUGAGUGCAUUGGACAUAUUUCGAAUGGCAUUUGUACCUUCAAUCGACAGCUACAGAAAUAGACUGUAAAUUUGCCUGGCAGAUUGAAAACAACAUUUUAUGGCAACAUGCAUCUCAUAAAUCUUUCAUCAAAUUUUUUAUCAUACAAGUCGAAAAAUCCAUUAAACACUUGCUGUUAUCGGAGCAGGCCAUGCAAGAUGCCACGAAAAAAUACGUUCAACAAUGGUAGCAGGAAAAAGAAGAGGAAGAACGAGCAAGUAGGAAAGUGGAUAAAAAAAAAAAUAAAAAAUCGAAAACUCUUGUUGGAAUAAAUAGAAAGGUGAAACAGUUAAAAGGAGCAAAAAUUCGUUUCAACAAUUAUCAACUUAAAUUGCCUAGAGGUUCAUGAGUACUAAAGCCAUAUAGCCAACAACAAGAGAGAGAAAAAAAAUGGAUCGUCUAUUACUUUUUUCCAUUUGGUGAAAAAUGCCUGCGGGCACCAAGUUGAAACGAGUGGUGAACACA